rnacentral:rRNA from 1 species
GAUGGAUGCUGGCGGCGUGCCUAACACAUGCAAGUCGAGCGGCAGCGAGGGGUGCUUGCACCCUGUCGGCGAGCGGCGAACGGCUGAGUAACGCGUAGGAAUUUGCCCCAAAGUGAGGAAUAACUGCCCGAAAGGGUAGCUAAUGCCGCAUAUGGUCUUCGGAUUAAAGGAUUUAUCCGCUUUGGGAGAAGCCUGCGUUGGAUUAGGUUGUUGGUAGGGUAAUGGCCUACCAAGCCGACGAUCCAUAGCUGGUCUGAGAGGAUGAUCAGCCAGACUGGAACUGAGACACGGUCCAGACUCCUACGGGAGGCAGCAGUGAGGAAUCUUCCACAAUGGGCGAAAGCCUGAUGGAGCAACGCCGCGCGAAGGAUGAAGGCCUUCGGGUUGUAAACUUCUUUUAUGAGUGAAGAAUAUGACGGUAACUCAUGAAUAAGCACCGGCUAACUACGUG